CAAUAUAAGUGAUGGCGACCGGCGCACGGGUGAGUAACACGUAUCCAACCUGCCGAUAACUCGGGGAUAGCCUUUCGAAAGAAAGAUUAAUACCCGAUGGUAUAAUAAAACCGCAUGGUUUAAUUAUUAAAGAAUUUCGGUUAUCGAUGGGGAUGCGUUCCAUUAGGCAGUUGGCGAGGUAACGGCUCACCAAACCUUCGAUGGAUAGGGGUUCUGAGAGGAAGGUCCCCCACAUUGGAACUGAGACACGGUCCAA
rnacentral:rRNA from 1 species